UGCAGCCACGGCCCAGCAGUUCACACUCUGCUCCUCAGUCUGACCACAUUUCUGUCUGACCUGCAGAUCUUCUGAGUCAGGCUUGGACUCCAUCUGAUCCCUGGAUCCCUCUUUUCAGCCUAUGAUUCCUCUCUUCCCUCACUGCUACAGCCCCAUGGUGGCCUGCCAGCUCUCAACCUUCAGUAUCACUGGGAACAGGUGAAACUAUAAACUGGAGGCCUAAUUAAGACCUGCUGUUUCCUGAAAUUUUGUGUGCACAGCUCUGGGAAGGAAAGUUGCAUGGAACUUUACUUGAAGGGGCUUGCUAUUCUGAAGAAAUCAACUGGAGAGAUACUAGAAUAAAGGCUUUGUUAUACUUUUGCUGUUUGAGGAAGAUUAAUGAAAGUGGGACUUCUUAAACAGCAGGGAAGUUAUUUCCAAAUCCAGCAGCACAGAGCCCAGGGUUUGAUGGCAGCCGAUUCCCGUGUCACACAAGGAUUUCCAGGAGAGCUACCUGAAAUGGGGACAAGAAGACAAAGGCCACUGGCUGAGAAGUUUCUAGGUAAUCUGCUUAGGAAACUGUGACUACAUAUCACAAAUGUCUGGCUCAUCUACUGCUCUGUCUCUACAUGUUGCCUAUCAUGUAAAUUUACUCCAGUUUAC
rnacentral:lncRNA from 1 species